rnacentral:rRNA from 1 species
UAGUUAAGUUCUUGAAACUCAAAGAAUUUGGCGGUGUUUUAGUCUAUUCAGAGGAAUCUGUCCCAUGAUCGAUAAUUCACGAGUUAUUUUACUUAAUUUAGUAUAGUCAGCUUGUAUACCGCCGUCAUCAGAUAAUCUUAGGAGAGUUAUUAAUGUUCUUAAUAUUUAAGUGGAUAAGAUGUCAGGUCAAGGUGCAGUUUAUAGUUAAGUGGAGAUGGAUUACAAUAAAUUUAUUUAUUAAUGGAUUCUGAUUUGAAAUUUUCGGAUAAAGGUGGAUUUGAUAGUAAUAUUGUUGUUAUUAAUAAUUUGAUUUUAGCUCUAGAACAUGUACACAUCGCCCGUCGCUCUCAGUUUAAGGUGAGAUAAGUCGUAACAUAGUAGAUGUACUGGAAAGUGUAUCUAGGAAGA